GAUGAACGCUGGCGGCGUGCCUAAUACAUGCAAGUCGAACGGAAGGUAGCAAUACCUUUAGUGGCGAACGGGUGAGUAACGCGUUGGUGACCUGCCCCGAAGCGUGGGAUAACAGUCCGAAAGGAUUGCUAAUACCGCAUGUGGUCCAAGAGACUAGAGGCUUAUGGACUAAAGGAGACAUUCACUUCGGGAGGGGCCUGCGUCCCAUCAGCUAGUUGGUAGGGUAACGGCCUACCAAGGCGAUGACGGGUAGGGGACCUGAGAGGGUGGCCCCCCACAAUGGAACUGAAACACGGUCCAUACACCUACGGGUGGCAGCAGUAGGGAAUAUUGCAAAAUGGGCGCAAGCCCGAUGCAGCAACGCCGCGUGGGCGAUGAAGGCCUUCGGGUCGUAAAGCCCUUUUUGAGGGGAUGAGGAAGGACAGUACCCUCAGAAUAAGCCUCGGCUAACUACGUG
rnacentral:rRNA from 1 species